AGAACGAACGCUGGCGGCAGGCCUCAAACAUGCAAGUCUAGGGGGUGUAGCAAUACAUCACCGGCGGACGGGUGCGUAACGCGUGGGAAUGUACCUAUUGGUUCGGAACAACUGAGGGAAACUUCAGCUAAUACCGAAUGAGCCCGAAAGGGGAAAGAUUUCUCGCCAAUGGAUCAGCCCGCGUCCGAUUAGCUAGUUGGUGGGGUUAUGGCCUACCAAGGCGACGAUCGGUAGCUGUUCUGAGAGGAAGAUCAGCCACACUGGGACUGAGACACGGCCCAGACUCCUACGGGAGGCAGCAGUUGGGAAUCUUGGACAAUGGGGGAAACCCUGAUCCAGCCAUGCCGCGUGAGUGAUGAAGGCCUUCGGGUUGUAAAACUCUUUCGACGGGACGAUAAUGACGGUACCCGUAGAAGAAGCUCCGGCUAACUUCGUGCCAGCAGCCGC
rnacentral:rRNA from 1 species